rnacentral:rRNA from 1 species
UUCGACUAAGCCAUGCGAGUCGAGAGGAUUCGGUCCUCGGCUGACGGCUCAGUAACACGUGGAUAAUCUGCCCUUAGGUGGAGGAUAACCUCGGGAAACUGAGAAUAAUACUCCAUAGAUCUAGAAGGCUGGAAUGCAUUUAGAUCUAAAGCUCCGGCGCCUAAGGAUGAGUCUGCGGACUAUCAGGUUGUAGUCAGGGUAAUGACCUGACUAGCCUACGACGGAUACGGGUUGUGAGAGCAAUAACCCGGAGACGAUAUCUGAGACACGAUAUCGGGCCCUACGGGGCGCAGCAGGCGCGAAAACUUCACACUGUGCGAAAGCGCGAUGAGGGAAUCCCAAGUGCUUGCUCGUAAGAGUAAGCUGUUUCUUUGCUUAAAAAACAGAGAGAGUAAGGGCUGGGUAAGACGGGUGCCAGCCGCCGCGGUAAUACCUGCAGCUCAAGUGGUGAUCAUUAUUAUUGGGCCUAAAACGUCCGUAGCCGGUUUAGUAAAUGCCUGGGUAAAUCGUUUAGCUUAACUAUACGAAUUCCGGGUAGACUGUUUGACUUGAGACCGGGAGAAGCUAGAGGUACUCCUGGGGUAGAGGUGAAAUUCUGUAAUCCUAGGGGGACCACCAGUGGCGAAGGCGUCUAGCUAGAACGGGUCUGACGGUGAGGGACGAAGCCCUGGGGCACAAACCGGAUUAGAUACCCGGGUAGUCCAGGGUGUAAACGCUGCUUGCUUGAUGUUAGCUGAGCUCCGAGCCCAGCUAGUGUCGGAGAGAAGUUGUUAAGCAAGCUGCCUGGGAAGUACGGUCGCAAGGCUGAAACUUAAAGGAAUUGGCGGGGGAGCACAGCAACGGGUGGAGCGUGCG